rnacentral:lncRNA from 1 species
GGGUCAGGGUCUCAGAGUCUGCAUGGCAGUCACCAUUGUCUUGACUUGGGAAAGAAUCUGACCCCCGCAGAUCCUUCAAUCAGGGGCUGCUGCUGAGCUUAUGAUGAUUUUUCUUCUAAAGGUCAGCAACUCAUUGGGGCUGAUGGCGUCCCUGCCCUGGGCAGACAGGCAGGACUUGCUCAUGAGUCUCUGUAUCACUCAGCUCCAGGAGACUCAGAAUCUCACCAGGACACGUCCAUCACUCUCUCAUAGCUGGUACUUGGAAAUGAAAGAGACUCGCAGUGCAGUCCCAAUCAAUGUCCGUCGGCCGUCUCUGUCGAUAACUGCCGGGCUGUCCAAUCUUUCCCCUGAUAGAAAGGCGCCUGGGGGUCAGCCUGAAGAAGCUCUGGAGGGAAGAGGCGGCUGUUUGAUUCAGAGCCUCCUCGCUGGGCUGGAAUUAACCUGGCUCUUUCUCUAAUGAAACUGACUCCAAGGGUCCCUGUGUGCUAGAGAUUCAAUGGCCCUUAGGAGAAGCAAUGAUGAGAGGUAAUAUUAAAGCAGUGUACACAUGCAGCCUCGAAUUCCUAACCACGCUGAUGAUGUUUUCAAGGUGCUUUGAGCCCUGUAGGAAGCAGCACCUGUCUGGCAUGAUGCUGAAUGCACAGUAGAAACAGUGAAUGCAGGGAGAGUAGACCCUGGGCUGCCUUUCCUAUCUACUGAUGAAGAGAUCAGGCCUUAAGAAGCUUAGUGACUUAACCACGAUGU